rnacentral:sRNA from 1 species
UGCACUGUGAUUGUUUAAAAUGGUACAUAAAUCAGUUUAAAUGGACUUCAUGAUUCUGAGAUUAAUGAAUUAAGAAGUACCAAAGAUGUCUGACAUACACACACGUGUGUGUGUGUGUGUGUGUGUGUGUGUGUGUGUGUGCAA